AUGUCGACGGGGGAGGAGCAGAGAGCGAGUAAGCCGCCGGCGACGGUGAGGAUCGUCGAGACGCUGUACGUCGAGGCCGGCACGGCCGCCGACUUCAAGUCCGUCGUGCAGCGGCUCACCGGGAGGGACUCCGCCUCCGCCGCAGCACUACCAGUGCAAGACCGGACGACUCCGCAGGGUGCUGACCGGGGGGCUGGCGCGGGGGGAGGAGGUGGCGCCUCCGACGCAAAGCGGGGCAGCUGA
rnacentral:rRNA from 1 species